GGGGCGGGCUCUUCAGCCUCUGAAUCUCCCUGCGGCCCCCCAGCUCGGCCUGAGACGGAGGCAUCCGGUCCCUGAGGACUGAGAAGCGGCGUCACGCGUUGGGGAGGGGCCAGAGCCGCCCGAGGGGCGGGGGCGGCGGGCUGACCCCGGCCCUGAUGCUGUGUGACCCGGAGACAGCCAAUACCCUCUCUGGGCCUCAGCUGCCUCCUCUCUACGAUGAGGAGGGGCGCCCGAUGGCCUCCGCAGCCCCUUCCCGGGCCGUCUCGAUGACCCCCCGAUGGAGGGAGCCGGGCCCGGGGCGGGUCUGGAGCUGGAGCUGCAGCUGGUGCAGAGUCAGUGUCUCCAGAGGAACCCUCCUCCGUCUGGGGGACAAGGUCUGGCUGGUCGGGACUCCGGCCUCGCCUCAGCGGGGAGAAUCCAGGGGCAGGAGGGCAUGAGCGAGAACUGGAGCUUGGGCUCUUCCCACCAAUCUUUCUGCUGAACAUAUACCUGUGGAGGCCAAAGACAGAAGAAAAGCGUCAUAUGUGCAAAAAAUAUUAAUGAAACCACUAUUAGUGAUAGCAAACAACUGGCAACAAAGUUGGUACCCAUCAGCUCGGAAAUGACUGAACAAACUGGUUUAUUAACAUAAUAGGAUGUUAAUAAGAAAUGACAAACGUAUUCAGAGAAUCCUAGAAAGCUGUAUAUGAACUCCUACAGAAAGAAAAGUACCAAGAGAACGACAUAUAGAUUGAUCAAAACAUAACACCACAAGAACAUAUUGAACCCAACAAUGUCAAUAGAAUACUAAAAGAAAGCUGAAUUCUAAAUGAUUGUUAAAACAAAUCUUGGUCUCAGAAAAGGUAAUAAAGCAUCAGAGAGGGAGCUGACCAUAGACUUAAGAAUGCAGACUUUGCUAGAAACUGAGUCAUUUGUUUUUUAACUUCUUGUGUUUAUUUCAAGAAUUCUCAAGUUGAAGGAAGGGAAGUAGAGGAAUAUCCAGAAAUGACCUAAAAACAAAAAAGAUAAAACUUAUUUUUAAAAAAUUCUUAAAUAUUCUGCUUUUACCUGUAUAUGUGCCAUAUUUCCUCCUAUUUAUUUUUUAUUUCUAUUUUAUGUUUUUCAGUGAAGAGGCUUUUCAUUUUUAAGCAAACUAAUACAUAUACCUAUAAUUACUUCGAUUGUUUAGUAACUUAAAUGUGUAUUUUCCAUGUACACUUUAGAGAAAUUUAUUUUGUCAUUUUCUAUGUAUUUUUAUAGUCUUUCUGUCUACAUUUCAUUCUGAAUUUAAAUAUGGUAUAUUAUUGUGUGGUUUGAUCUAAAUUUUAAAUAAAAAAUACUUUAUCCUG